AUCCUGGCUCAGGAUGAACGCUAGCGGCAGGCUUAACACAUGCAAGUCGAGGGGCAUCGGGAGUAGCAAUACUUGCCGGCGACCGGCGCAAGGGUGCGUAACGCGUGAGCAACAUGCCCGUAUCAGGGGGAUAAUCCAUGGAAACGUGGUCUAAUACCCCAUAGUAAUUAUGUAAGGCAUCUUAUAUAAUUUAAAGCUUUGGUGGAUACGGAUUGGCUCGCGUGACAUUAGCUGGAUGGUAAGGUAGCGGCUUACCAUGGCUACGAUGUCUAGGGGUUCUGAGAGGAAGGUCCCCCACACUGGAACUGAGACACGGUCCAGACUCCUACGGGAGGCAGCAGUGAGGAAUAUUGGACAAUGGAUGGAAAUCUGAUCCAGCCAUGCCGCGUGCAGGAAGACGGCCCUAUGGGUUGUAAACUGCUUUUGUAUGGGAGCAAUAAGGGCUACGUGUAGUCCGAUGAGAGUACCAUACGAAUAAGCACCGGCUAACUCCGUGCCAGCCGCCGC
rnacentral:rRNA from 1 species